rnacentral:misc_RNA from 1 species
GAUGAAGAACGCAGCGAAAUGCGAUAAGUAAUAUGAAUUGCAGAAUUCAGUGAAUCAUCGAGUCUUUGAACGCACAUUGCGCCCCCUGGUAUUCCGGGGGGCAUGCCUGUCCGAGCGUCAUUGCCGCCCUCAAGCACGGCUUGUGUGUUGGGCCCCCGCCCCCCGGCUUCGGGGGGCGGGCCCGAAAGGCAGCGGCGGCACCGCGUCCGGUCCUCGAGCGUAUGGGGCUUCGUCACCCGCUCUGUAGGCCCGGCCGGCGCCCGCCGGCGACCCCAAUCAAUCUUUCCAGGUUGACCUCGGAUCAGGUAGGGAUACCCGCUGAACUUAAGCAUAUCAAUAAGCGGAGGA